AUUGAACGCUGGCGGAAUGCUUUACACAUGCAAGUCGAACGGUAGAGGGGGCAACCCCUCGAGAGUGGCGAACGGGUGAGUAAUAUAUCGGAACGUGCCCAGUCGUGGGGGAUAACGUAGCGAAAGUUACGCUAAUACCGCAUACGAUCUAAGGAUGAAAGCGGGGGAUCGCAAGACCUCGCGCGAUUGGAGCGGCCGAUAUCAGAUUAGGUAGUUGGUGGGGUAAAGGCUCACCAAGCCAACGAUCUGUAGCUGGUCUGAGAGGACGACCAGCCACACUGGAACUGAGACACGAUCCAGACUCCUGCGGGAGGAAGCAGUGGGGAAUUUUGGACAAUGGCCGCAAGUCUGAUCCAGCCAUUCCGCAUGCAGGAUGAAGGCCCUCGGGUUGUAAACUGCUUUUGUACGGAACGAAAAGGUCUCUCUUAAUACGGGGGGCUCAUGACGGUACCGUAAGAAUAAGCACCGGCUAACUACGUGCCAGCCGCCGCCGUAA
rnacentral:rRNA from 1 species